rnacentral:rRNA from 1 species
AGCGAACGCUGGCGGCAGGCCUAACACAUGCAAGUCGAACGAACUCUUCGGAGUUAGUGGCGGACGGGUGAGUAACACGUGGGAACGUGCCUUUUAGUUCGGAAUAACUCAGGGAAACUUGUGCUAAUACCGAAUGUGCCCUUCGGGGGAAAGAUUUAUCGCCAUUAGAGCGGCCCGCGUCUGAUUAGCUAGUUGGUGAGGUAACGGCUCACCAAGGCGACGAUCAGUAGCUGGUCUGAGAGGAUGACCAGCCACACUGGGACUGAGACACGGCCCAGACUCCUACGGGAGGCAGCAGUGGGGAAUCUUGCGCAAUGGGCGAAAGCCUGACGCAGCCAUGCCGCGUGAAUGAUGAAGGUAUUAGGAUUGUAAAAUUCUUUCACCGGGGACGAUAAUGACGGUACCCGGAGAAGAAGCCCCGGCUAACUUCGUG